CGCCUCCAUAAACCUCAACGGGUUCACCACCCUGGAACCUGGCAUCACAGAAUUGCCAGUUAUCUCCACCCCCACAAAAAAUAAAAUACAACCUGAAGGGACUUGACACCAGACUUUCAAGAGGACGGCCUGCGGCGUGAGCGACAGCAGGCAGACGAUGUCGCCGACGGAACAGUUGCUCAGUUUUGCAAACUCCUUUCCGAUCGUCACGGCAUCGCGUCUGAGGGGAGAAAGUGAGUGAAAACUGGAUGAUCAUCAUCUAAACGACCGUAAUAAACUUGAAGUACAGUCAUUUUGAAUGGGAAGGUGCCUGUGACUUUGUCGAAGUGUAUGUGACUAUGGAGAGAGAUUUGUUAUUUUUUUUUAACAUGAGAAAGUGAUUUAGUGUGGGAGAGAUGACUCACCUGGUCUUGAGAGGGAUGGAGAAAGGCAAGCUCUGCAGAAUGGCCUGUUUGAACAGAGCCUUGCUGCUUUGGAUCAUCAGGUGAAGACUCACGGAUUGAGCCCCGGCGCUCUCUCCGAAUAUCGUCACCUGACACGAAAGCGCCUCAUUACUUUUGACACUCGCGAUGACCGCCGUCAAAGCGCGUGUCAAUAAUCACGGUUGAGAAUUCAGUUAUUUUGAACAGAUUUCAGCUUUUUACAGUAGCUAUCCAAAUUUGAGAUGAUGAUGAUGAUGAUGAUUAUUAUUAUUUCAUUGUCUCUCUUGAUGUGCCCAAUGCUGUAGUUGAUUUCACAUGAGCAGCUCGGACAACUGGGAUUGAUAUAUUUUUUAAGGCGAUAGCUCCCUCUAGUGGUACAUAAAAGAAUCACUACUACCGUUCACGCUGCUAUUAUUAAACGGAUGAUUACUUGC